rnacentral:rRNA from 1 species
GAUGAACGCUGGCGGCGUGCCUAAUACAUGCAAGUCGAGCGAACAGACGAGAAGCUUGCUCCUCUGACGUUAGCGGCGGACGGGUGAGUAACACGUGGAUAACCUACCUAUAAGACUGGGAUAACUUCGGGAAACCGGAGCUAAUACCGGAUAAUAUUUUGAACCGCAUGGUUCAAUAGUGAAAGACGGUUUUGCUGUCACUUAUAGAUGGAUCCGCGCUGCAUUAGCUAGUUGGUAAGGUAACGGCUUACCAAGGCAACGAUGCGUAGCCGACCUGAGAGGGGAAUCGGCCAAACGGGAACUGAGACACGUCCCAGAUCCUUAGGGGAGGAAGCGUUGGGAAAUCUUCCGCAAGGGGCGAAAGCCGGACGAAGCAACGCCGCGGGGGUGAGGAAGGCUUUCGGAUCGUAAAACUUUUUUAUUGGGAAAAAACAAAGGUGUAAGAAACGAUGCACUUCUGGACGUAACCAAAGCAGAAGGCCAGGCUAAAUUACUG